CUCCAUCCUCACUUUGUUCGCUCCUCAGUCGUCCAGGCGGAUUCCUUUUUCGCCAGGCACCAAGGCACAGCUUAGAGUAGACCCGAGUCCUGCUCUGCGGAGUUCGUCUUCCCAGCGAAGGUACAGAGGCGGAUGAACUGCUGAGACUUGAUCAAAAGCUGAGUGAAGCAGUGGUCCAGCUGGAAUUCAACACCUGAGAUAUCUGACUCCAGAUACCAGCCCUUCCUUGCUUCCCACUAGCUGCCUAACCCAGAGAGGAGAUUGGGAAAAGAGAAACAAGUUACAGAAUUCAAGACCUCCACCCAGGAACUGACUCAGCGCAAGAAGACAGCUUCGACUCUGUAUGAGUUCAUCUCCAACCUGACCAAUCAGCACUCCCGGCUCACUGGCUUCCCCCCAUCCACCAAGUUGUCCUUAAAACUCUGCUCCCCGAAUGCUUGGGGAGACUUAUUUGAGUAAUAAUAAAACUCUGUUCU
rnacentral:lncRNA from 1 species